rnacentral:lncRNA from 1 species
CCAGAACCCACUUGACUCCUUCAACUAGUAAGAGCACAUGGAGCAUCAAGAGAGGGGGAUGGAAAAGCUGUGACUGACCCAUCCCAUCCAUGAAAAGCCUGACAGCUCUGAUGAUUCCUGGGGAUGGAACUCAGAGGGAGAAUCCAACAGCUCAAAGGCCACAUCAAAACAAGGGCAGCCCCUUUUCAAGAAUUUGAGACAUGAGAAGAAAAGCCAAGAGCACAGAAGAGCUUCUCUUCCAAAACAG